rnacentral:tRNA from 3 species
GGUGCCGUGGCCAAGCGGUAAGGCAGAGGCCUGCAAAGCCUUUAUCGGCGGUUCGAAUCCGCCCGGCACCUCCA